rnacentral:rRNA from 1 species
UACGGAGGGUGCGAGCGUUGUCCGGAAUCAUUGGGCGUAAAGGGCGCGUAGGUGGCCUGCUAAGCGUGCGGUGAAAGUCGGGGCUCAACCCCCGAUCGGCCGUGCGGAACUGGGAGGCUUGAGCACUGUAGAGGCAGGCGGAAUUCCGGGUGUAGCGGUGGAAUGCGUAGAGAUCCGGAAGAACACCGGUGGCGAAGGCGGCCUGCUGGGCAGUUUGCUGACACUGAGGCGCGACAGCGUGGGGAGCAAACAGGG